rnacentral:rRNA from 1 species
GCGCGAAAACUUUGCAAUGCGGGAAACCGUGACAGGGGAACUCCGAGUGCCCGUAAAAUCGGGCUGUCCAUCAGUUUAAAUAACUGGUGAAGAAAGGGCCGGGCAAGACCGGUGCCAGCCGCCGCGGUAAUACCGGCGGCUCGAGUGGUGGCCACUAUUACUGGGCUUAAAGCGUUCGUAGCUGGUCUGUUAAGUCUCUGGGGAAAUCUUCCGGCUUAACCGGAAGGCGUCUCAGGGAUACUGGCAGACUAGGGACCGGAAGAGGUGAGAGGUACUUCAGGGGUAGGAGUGAAAUCCUGUAAUCCUUGAGGGACCACCUGUGGCGAAGGCGCCUAACUGGAACGGACCUGACGGUGAGUAACGAAAGCCAGGGGCGCGAACC